rnacentral:lncRNA from 1 species
AUGGAGAGGGUUUGGGGGUCCCUGGGGAGGGUUUGGGGGUCCUUGGGUGCCCUGGGGGGGAUUUUGGGGGUCCCUGGGGAGGAUUUUGGGGAUCCCUGGGAGGGUUUUGGGGGUCCCUGGGUCCCUCCCCGAUUUCUGGGGAGGAUUUUGGGGGUCCCUGGGGGGGAUUUUGGGGGGUCUCUGGGGGGGAUUUUGGGGAUCCCUGGGGGGGUUUUGGGGGUCCCUGGGGGAGAUUUUGGGGGUCCCCGGGGUGGAUUUUGGGGGUCCCUGGGGGGGUUUUUGGGUUCUCUGGGGGGAUUUGGGGGGUCCCUGGGGGGGAUUUUGGGGGUCCCUGGGUGCCCUGGGGGGGAUUUUGGGGGUCCCUGGGGGGGUUUUGGGGGUCCCUGGGGGGAUUUUGGGGGUCCCUGGGGGGAUUUUGGGGGUCCCUGGGGAGGAUUUUGGGGGUCCCCGGGUACCUCCCCGAUUUCUGGGGAGGAUUUUGGGGGUCCCUGGGUGCCCUGGGGGGGAUUUUGGGGGUCCCUGGGGAGGGUUUGGGGGUCCCUGGGUGCCUUGGGGGGGAUUUUGGGGGUCCCUGGGGGGGAUUUUGGGGGUCCCUGGAGGGGGUUUGGGGGUUCCUGGGGGGAAUUUUGGGGGUCUCUGGGGGGAUUUUGGGGGUCCCUGGGGGGAUUUUGGGGGUCCCUGGGUCCCUCCCCGAUUUCUGGGGGGGAUUUUGGGGGUCUCUGGGGAGGAUUUUGGGGGUCCCUGGAAAGAGUUUGGGGGUCCGUGGGUGCCCUGGGGGGGAUUUUGGGGGUCCCUGGGGGGUUUGGGGGUCCCUGGGGGGAUUUUGGGGGUCCCUGGGGAGGAUUUUGGGGGUCCCUGGGGAGGAUUUUGGGGGUCCUCAUGGAUGUCCCCCUCCAGCACGACCCCACCCGAAGCCUCGGGACCCCCCCGGGGACCCCCCUGAGGGGGUGGGGGAGGGGCUGGAGCCCCCCAAAAAUGAGGAGGAGGAGGAGGAGGAGACCUGGAUGGACGAGGACUCGCGGACCUUCUCGCAGUUUCUGCUGCUGAUGGAGCAGCAGCGGCAGCUGCACGAGCUGCAGCGGGAGGUGGAGCAGCUCCGGGCCGCCGUGGCAGCCGCCGAGACCCCCGAGGAGUCGGGGGGACCCCCGGGGGACCCCAAAUCGGAGCUGCGGGAACGGGACCGGGAACAGCUGCAGGAGCUGCGGGCAGGCACGGGGGGAUUGGGGGAUUUGGGGGGGAUUUGGGGUUCGGGGGGGGAGAGAUUUGGGGUCUGGGGGGGCGAUUUGGGGUCUGGGGUGGAGAUUUGGGGGCGUUAUGGUGUUUUUUUGGGGGUCCAGGGGGGCCAAUAUGGGGUUUGGGGUGGGGAAUUUGGGGUCCUGGGGGGAAUUUGGGGGCGUUACGGAGAUUUUUCGGGGUCCUGGGGGGGGAAAUUGGGGUCUUGGGGGGUGGAAUUUGGGGUCUUGGGGGGGAGAUUUGGGGUCUGGGGGGGAGAUUUGGGGGCAUUAUGGGGUUUUUUUGGGGUCUUGGGGAGGGAAUUUGGGGUCUGGGGGGAAGAUUUGGGGUCUGGGAGGGGCAAUUUGGGGGGUAAUGGGGCAUUUUUUGGGGUUCGGGGCGGGCAAUUUGGGGUCUGGGGGGAGAUUUGGGGUCUGGGAGGGAGAUUUGGGGUCUUGGGGAGGGAAUUUGGGGUCCGUGGAGGGGGAAUUUAGGGUCCUCGGGGGGGAUUUGGGGGCGUUAUGGGUUUUUUUGGGGGGUCCAGGGGGGCCAAUUUGGGGUUUGGGGUGGGGAAUUUGGGGUCUGGGGGGGGGAUUUGGGGUCUGGGGGGGGAAUUUGGGGUCCUGGGGGGUGGAAUUUGGGGUUCAUGGGGGGAAUUUGGGGUCUGGGGGGGCGAUUUGGGGUCUUGGGGGGAAUUUGGGGGGGUUAUGGGGGAUUUUGGGGGGUUUGGGGGCUGUAAUUAAUUCGGUUCCGGGUUCUAUAAUUAAUUGGGGGCAGGUUUGGGGGUCCGGGCCGGUUUUUGGGGGGGGGUCUCAGGGCUGUGCCCCCCCAGGGCUGGGGGUGUGUAAUUAAUUUGGGGUCCGGGGCUGUAAUUAAUUCGGGGUCCGGGUGCUGUAAUUAAUUGGGGGUUCCGGGUUCUAUAAUUAAUUGGGGGCAGGUUUGGGGGUCCGGCCCGGUUUUUGGGGGGGGUCUCAGGGCUGUGCCCCCCCCAGGACUGGGGGAGCUGCCGGCCCGGCUGGAGGAGGGGCGGGGGGCCGGGGACCCCCCCGGGGACCCCCCCGGAUUUGGGGACCCCCUGUGGGACCCCCCCGGGAUUGGGGACCCCCUGUGGGACCCCCCCGGAUUUGGGGACCCCCUCUGGGACCCCCCCGGAUUUGGGGACCCCCUGUGGGACCCCCCCGGAUUUGGGGACCCCCCCGGAUUUGGGGACCCCCCCGGGGACCCCCCCGGAUUUGGGGACCCCCCCGGGGACCCCCCCGGGUUUGGGGACCCCCUGUGGGACCCCCCCGGAUUUGGGGACCCCCCCGGAUUUGGGGACCCCCCGUGGGAGCAGCUGCGGCGUCUGGAGCUGCUCGUGAGCCGGAGGGGCCCGGGGGCGGUGAGAGCCAAACUGGGAGCACUGGGAGGGACUGGGGGGGACUGGGGGGGACUGGGAGCACAAACUGGGAGUACUGGGAGGGACUGGGAGGGACUGGGAGCACUGGGAGGAACUCACUGGGAGCACUGGGAGCACCAACUGGGAGUACUGGGAGGAACUGGGAGUACUGGGAUGGAGCAACUGGGAGUACUGGAAGCACUGGGAGGGACUAACUGGGAGGGACUGGGAGGAACUGGGAGUACUGGGAGGGAGCAACUGGGAGCACUGGGAGGGACUGGGAGUACUGGGAGCACAAACUGGGAGUACUGGAAGGGAGCAACUGGGAGAAAUGGGAGCACUGGGAGCUACUGGGAGGGAGCAACUGGGAGCACAAACUGGGAGGGACUGGGAGGGACUGUGAGUACUGGGAGCACUGGGAGGAACUCACUGGGAGCACUGGGAGCACAAACUGGGAGUACUGGGAGCACUGGGAGUACUGGGAGCACUGGGAGGAACUAACUGGGAGUACUGGGAGCACUGGGAGCACAAACUGGGAGCACUGGGAGGGACUGGGAGCACUGGGAGGAACUGGGGGGAACUGGGAGCACAAACUGGGAGUACUGGGAGCACAAACUGGGAGCACUGGGAGGAACUGGGAGGAACUGGGAGUACUGGGAGGGACUAACUGGGAGUACUGGGAGCACCAACUGGGAGUAUUGGGAGGAACUAACUGGGAGGUACUGGGAGCACUGGGAGCACUAACUGGGAGCACUGGGAGGGACUGGGAGCACUGGGAGGAACUGGGAGUACUGAGAGCACAAACUGGGAGCACUGGGAGGGACUGGGAGGGGAGGUUGGGGGGUUUUGGGGGAACAAUUUUGGGUUCAUGGGGAGAAUUUGGGGUUAUUGGAGAGAAUUUGGGGGUUCAUUGCUGAAAAUUUGGGGUUUUAUGGGGAGAAUUUGGGGGAGAAUUGGGGGAAAUUUGGGGGUUCACGGGGAAAAUUUGGGGGUUAAUUUGGGAAAAAUUUGGGGUUUUAUGGGGAGAAAUUGAGGGUUAGUUGGGGGAGAAUUUGGGGUUAAUUGGGGAAAAUUUGGGGGUUCACUGGGUGAAAUUUGGGGGUUCAUUGAGGGAAAUUUGGGGGAUCAUUGGGGGAAAUUUGGGGUUAAUUGGGGGAGAAUUUGGGGGUUCACAGGGAAAAAUUUGGGGGUUCACUGGGUGAAAUUGGGGGUUCACUGGGUGAAAUUUGGGGGUUCAUUGAGGGAAAUUUGGGGGUUCAUUGAGGGAAAUUUGGGAUUAAUUAGGGGAGAAUUUGGGGUUAAUUGAGUGAAAUUUGGGGUUAAUUGGGGAGAAUUUGGGGGUUAAUUGGGAGAGAAUUUGGGGGUUCAUUGAGGGAAAUUUGGGGGUUCAUUGAGGGAAAUUUGGGGUUAAUUGAGGUAAAUUUGGGGAUUAAUUGAGUGAAAUUUGGGGGAUCAUUGGGGGAGAAUUUGGGGGUUCAUUGAGGGAAAUUUGGGGGUUCAUUGGGGGAAAUUUGGGGUUAAUUGAGGGGAAUUUGGGGGUUCACUGGGUGAAAUUUGGGGGUUCAUUGGGGGAAAUUUGGGGGUUCAUUGAGGGAGAAUUUGGGGGUUCAUUGAGGGAAAUUUGGGGUUCAGUGAGGGAAAUUUGGGGAUUAAUUGAGGGGAAUUUGGGGGAUCAUUGGGUGAAAUUUGGGGGUUCAUUGAGGGAAAUUUGGGGGUUCAAUGGGGGAAAUUUGGGGGAUCAUUGGGGGAGAAUUGGGGUUAAUUAGGGGAGAAUUUGGGGGUUGAGUGAAAUUUGGGGGUUCAAUGAGGGAAAUUUGGGGUUAAUUGAGUGAAAUUUGGGGUUAAUUCGGGGAGAAUUUGGGGGUUCAUUGGGGGAGAAUUUGGGGGUUCACUGGGUGAAAUUUGGGGGUUCAUUGAGGGAAAUUUGGGGUUCACUGGGUGAAAUUUGGGGGAUCGUUGGGGGAGAAUUUGGGGGUUCAUUGAGGGAAAUUUGGGGUUAAUUGGGGGAGAAUUUGGGGACUCAUUGGGGGAAAAUUUGGGGAUUCACGGGGAGAAUUUGGGGGUUCCUUGCUGAAAAUUUUGGGGGUUUCUUGGGGAAAAAUUUGGGGUUUUAUGGGGAGAAUUUGGGGGUUCAUUUGGGAAAAAAUUGGGGUUCAUUGGGGAAAAUUUGGGGUUCAUUGGGGGUUUAUUGGGAGUUUAUGGGGAGAAUUUGGGGGUUCAUGGGGAGAAUUUGGGGUUAUUGGGGGAGAAUUUGGGGGUUCAUUGGUGAAAUUUGGGGUUUCAUUGGGUGAAAUUUGGGGUUAAUUGGGGGAAAUUUGGGGGUUCACUGGGUGAAAUUUGGGGGUUCAUUGAGGGAAAUUUGGGGAUCAUUGGGGGAGAAUUUGGGGGUUCACUGGGUGAAAUUUGGGGUUAAUUGGGGGAGAAUUUGGGGUCCCCCCUCAGGUUUGGGGUCCCCCCCCCUUUUUUCGGGUCCCCCCCAAUUUUGGGGUCCCCCCCCCCAAUUUUGGGUCCCCCCCAAUUUUGGGGUCCCCCCAGGUCCCGGCAGGGUCGGAGCCCCUCCGCAGCCGCCCCCCCCCCCCGCGCCCCCCCAGCCCCAGGUGAGCCCCCCGGGACCCCCAACCCCACCCUGGCAGUGAGGGGGGGCUCCCCACCCCCCCAGGGGUGACAGCAGCACCCAAGGGUGCCCCCACAGCCCCUCCCCCACCCCCCAGGGAGGAGGAGGAGGAGGAAGAGGAGAGACCCCUGAGCCCCCGCGAGCUGCGGGAGAGGGUCCUGAGAGAGGUGGGGGUCCUGGCACCCAUGGGUGGGGGUCCUGGCACCCAUGGGUGGGGGUCCUGAGAGAGGUGGGGGGCACUGGCACCCAUGGGUGGGGGUCCUGAGAGAGGUGGGGGGCACUGGCACCCAUGGGUGGGGGUCCUGAGAGAGGUGGGGGGCACUGGCACCCAUGGGUGGGGGUCCUGGGACAUGGGUGGGGGUCCUGAGAGAGGUGGGGGGCACUGGCGCCCAUGGGUGGGGGUCCUGAGAGAGGUGGGGGGCACUGGCACCCAUGGGUGGGGGUCCUGAGAGAGGUGGGGGCACUGGCACCCAUGGGUGGGGGUCCUGAGAGAGGUGGGGGCACUGGCACCCAUGGGUGGGGGUCCUGAGAGAGG